rnacentral:rRNA from 1 species
UACAGAGGGGGCGAGCGUUGUUCGGAAUUACUGGGCGUAAAGCGCGUGUAGGCGGUCUAAUAAGUCAGAUGUGAAAUCCCGGGGCCUAACUCCGGAAGUGCAUUUGAAACUGUUAGGCUGGAGUGAUGUAGAGGAUGGCGGAAUACCCAGUGUAGUGGUGAAAUACGUAGAGAUUGGGUAGAACACCGGUGGCGAAGGCGGCCAUCUGGGCAUUAACUGACGCUGAGACGCGAAAGCGUGGGGAGCAAACAGG